GGUGUGAUUGACAAAGAAAAGUUUGAUUCCUUUUAUGUGCCGGUGUAUGAACCUUCUAGUAAAGAGGUGAGAGAGAUCAUCGAAGAAGAGGGCUCCUUUUCAAUCAAGGAGAUGCAAGUGCAUGACCCUACAACCGAUAUGAACAAUGCUCUCAACACCCCAAGCAAGUUCGUCAAUCUCUUGAGAGCUUUAUGUGAGCCAAUAUUAGUACAACAUUUUGGAGAUGUCAUGUAUGAAUUCGUGAGCACCGCGGAGCAUCACUGGAGCCUAGAGGGCAACUUGUUAGGUCCUUAUGCUAUAUUGGCCAUAUCCCUUGCAAAGGCAUGA
rnacentral:rRNA from 1 species